rnacentral:rRNA from 1 species
AUUGAACGCUGGCGGCAGGCCUAACACAUGCAAGUCGAGCGGAUGAAGAGAGCUUGCUCUCUGAUUUAGCGGCGGACGGGUGAGUAAUGCCUAGGAAUCUGCCUGGUAGUGGGGGAUAACGUUCCGAAAGGAACGCUAAUACCGCAUACGUCCUACGGGAGAAAGCAGGGGACCUUCGGGCCUUGCGCUAUCAGAUGAGCCUAGGUCGGAUUAGCUAGUUGGUGAGGUAAUGGCUCACCAAGGCGACGAUCCGUAACUGGUCUGAGAGGAUGAUCAGUCACACUGGAACUGAGACACGGUCCAGACUCCUACGGGAGGCAGCAGUGGGGAAUAUUGGACAAUGGGCGAAAGCCUGAUCCAGCCAUGCCGCGUGUGUGAAGAAGGUCUUCGGAUUGUAAAGCACUUUAAGUUGGGAGGAAGGGCAGUAAGUUAAUACCUUGCUGUUUUGACGUUACCGACAGAAUAAGCACCGGCUAACUCUGUGCCAGCAGCCGCAGUAACAC